AGUGUCUCCUGGUGCGGGCAAAGUCAAGUCUGAAGCCAUAGAAAUGGUUGCUGCUGCACACAACAUCAAAGAGGAGCUUGGAGAUGAGACUGAGGAUGUAACUGUGAAGGAGGAACCAUUCCUGUAUGAUGAGGCUUGUUCAGUUGAACAUCUCAGCCCCCCACCUCCACCCUCAUCUUGGGUGCCAUGUAAGACGGAAGCUCAGGUUGAGGCUCCCAAUGCCAACCAAAUCUCACCACCACACACUUCUACCCUG